GCCCCCGUAGCUCAGUGGAAGAGCAAGGUCCUCCUAAGACCUAGGUCGUGGGUUCGAAUCCUACCGGGGGCA
rnacentral:tRNA from 3 species